GACGUAGGGUGCGAGCGUUGUCCGGAUUUAUUGGGCGUAAAGAGCUCGUAGGUGGUUUGUCGCGUUGUUCGUGAAAACUCACAGCUUAACUGUGGGCUUGCGGUCGAUACGGGCAUCACUUGGAGUUCGGCAGGGGAGACUGGAAUUCUUGGUGUAGUGGUGAAAUACGUAGAUAUCAAGAGGAAUACCGGAGGCGAAGGCGGAUAGCUGGGCCAACUUGACGCUGAGACCCGAAAGCGUGGGGAUCAAACAGG
rnacentral:rRNA from 1 species